rnacentral:rRNA from 1 species
GCUACAGCGGUGGAUGCAGGGGUGGAAAUACUGAGGGGGGAAGCGUUAUCCGGAAUUAUGGGGCGUAAAGCGUCCGUAGGUGGGUAGUUAAGUCUGCGGUCAAAGACUGUGGCGUAACCCUGGAAAGGCCGUGGAAACUGACGAGCUAGAGUGCAGUAGGGGUAGAGGGAAUUCCCGGUGUAGCGGUGAAAUGCGUAGAGCUCGGGAAGAACAUCGGUGGCGAAAGCGCUCUACUGGACUGCAACUGACACUCAGGGACGAAAGCUAGGGGAGCGAAUGGGAUUAGAUACCCGGGUAGUC